rnacentral:rRNA from 1 species
UAGGGAAUAUUGGACAAUGGGUGAGAGCCUGAUCCAGCCAUGCCGCGUGCAGGAAGAAGGCGUUAUGCGUUGUAAACUGCUUUUGCCAGGGGAUAAAAAGACCGUGCGCGGUUAAUUGAAGGUACCUGGUGAAUAAGCCACGGCUAACUACGUGCCAGCAGCCGCGGUAAUACGUAGGUGGCAAGCGUUGUCCGGAUUUAUUGGGUUUAAAGGGUGCGUAGGUGGCCCUGUAAGUCAGUGGUGAAAUAUCUCAGCUUAACUGAGAGGGUGCCAUUGAUACUGCAGGGCUUGAGUACAGAUGAGGUAGGCGGAAUUGACGGUGUAGCGGUGAAAUGCAUAGAUAUCGUCAAGAACACCGAUAGCGAAGGCAGCUUACCAAGCUGUAACUGACACUGAGGCACGAAAGUGUGGGGAUCAAACAGGAUUAGAUACCCUAGUAGUCCCUGAGCGGGCUGGCAAGGCGCAU